UUGGUGUAUUGGCGGUCCCCAUUGACAGUUCUCGUCACGGUUCGGCGGUUCCUUUUAUACCCGUCUGUGCCUGUUCAAUAGGGCCUACAAAUGCUAAUAAGCAAUAAUCAGACUAGGAUUUCAUGAGAACAGAUUGUUUAGCUUAGCUUUGUUUAAGAAAGUCCUGUUCGCGACAAACGGAACACUGUGCGGUUUGGGGAACUAAAAUAUUAGGAGAAGGAAACAUGUGUAAACCUUGAAAAGUCUAAGUGAAACGACGUCUUCCAUUGUUAAAAGCCAUAUUUACUUACAGAAAAAAAGUUUAUACGACGUCGAAGAAGAUGUAAUUUGAACAUCGUUUUCAGCAAUUCAAGGCCGUGAGGAAAAUUAUUUCUGGAAUUGGCUUAAUUUUGGACAAAAACCUCUUUUCAACAAAAAAAUGUCUUGGUUCAAGUUUUGGAGCCGCUCAAAAUCGAAAUCUAAGGACAUUAAGGAUGAAUAUCAAAAAGAGCUGAAGAGAUCUGAGUCUCUAAGAGAAGACUCAAACCUAACGGAAGCGGAACGUGAAAAACAAAAACUGAAACACACCCUGUCAAUAUCCCGGUCUGGAAGAUUCAAGCACAAGAAACGAGAGCGUGGAGGGAUUCUUGACAAACCGGAGAUGUUUGAUAAGACAGUAGAAAACGGCAAUGGGGGAAGACCGACGGUGAAACCCCCUAACCCCCCUUCCUCUGGACACUCACGAUCUCCCAAUAACACGUGUCGAGAUGUGCGCGAUGUUUUUCAAUCCAACUACCCAUCUCAUGUUGCAGCGGUUUGAAAUCGUUCAUACGCAGAACUAAAGAAGACAUGUGAUUAUAUGCAAUCAUAAUGACCUAAAGUGCAGGCAAUAACUUUAAUUUGCAUUUUAUUGAAUUCCGUUUCCAUUAAGAUUGAAAAAUAUCAUCCAUCUCAGAUUCAUAUUUUAUUGCGGGAUUUAGACUUAGUGGAGAUAUAAUCAAAGGUUUUCAAUGAUUGUACAUAGUGCUAAUUAUGAAAAGGUUAAUUUUUCUGUCUCAGUUUUUCAGCGUUUGUCAACACCUUUGAUUCUAGUUUGAUUCAUGCAGACUAUCUUUCAUGACGAUGAUAUUCAUGACCAAUUACGUUGAUAGAAGACAUAAUGUCUUAAAACGACAUAAUGUCUCAAAACGUCGAAAUAAUAGAAAGAAUUGUAGAUAUAUGAUGUGUAAGAAAUUAUUUUGAUUUGUUUACUGUUAAUCACAAAUCAAUAGUCAUGUUCAUGAAAAUGAUUAAUUGCAUCGUAGCCCCCUAGUUCAUUCCAUAUUUUGUGUUUGUUGUUUGUUAAUAUAUAUGAGGUUUAUGAUUUUUUAAAACCAUAUUUUAUAUUUAAAACCUGCUUGUUCUCAACUUGAUUUUAAAUGGCAUAUCUCGGCCGCUUUUUUCAUAAAUCAAGACCCAAUGCAAGUUAAAAUAUGGCUGUAAUAUUAAGCUCAUUAUAACAGAGCUUUGUGUUGAGCUGCAAAUCGUUGCCAAUAAGUUUGUAAAACUGAUUUCUACAAUGAUACUUCAUAAUAAAGAGCAGUACUUUUUUUUGUUAAAAAGCAUUUAAAUUCUUGUGUACCGGCGAGCCUUUGUUCCAACACAUAAACAAAACCCAAUUUUACAAUCAUUUGCCAAUUGCGUCGACUAGAUGAAAUCUUGAUUGUUAAUCAAACAAAUCAACACCCAUUAAUAUUGCAUUGCGUUUUGGCAAAUAUUUUGUUUCUUAUUUUGUAUUUUGAGAAAGCUGGAUGUCCGUGGCCAUUUCAAGACUGUAUUGGCCUCCUUUAACAGAAGAGCUUUUUAUGAAGAUACAGAAAAAUAUUCAAAUUUUAAAGCUAAAAUAUAUGGAAUCUUUUUUUACUUAAUUAAAGUUAAGCUCAAUAAAUCCUAUUCAAAAAUCUAUAGGUAGAUCGGAGGUAAUUUGUUGACCCACCCAGCCCCCUUAAAAGAGAAAAAAAUAUAGUACAGUACCGUUUUCCUGACGCAUUCAUGUUCAUCCAUUAUUUGAUAGUUCAUGCAAGCAUAGGGAUUUUUCAAGAUUCAUCUCUUUACUCUUUUUUUUAAA